ACGGAGGGUGCAAGCGUUAAUCGGAAUUACUGGGCGUAAAGCGCACGCAGGCUGUAGUGUAAGUCUGGGGUGAAAUCCCAGGGCUCAACCGUGGAAUUGCAAUUGAUACUGCCCAGCUUGAAUAUGGUAGAGGGAGGCGGAAUUCCCGGUGUAGGAGUGAGAUCCGUAGAGAUCGGGAGGAACAUCAGUGGCGAAGGCGGCCACCUGGACCAAUAUUGACGCUGAUGCACGAAAGCGUGGGGAGCAAACAG
rnacentral:rRNA from 1 species